UGGGGAAUCUUGCACAAUGGGGGCAACCCUGAUGCAGCGACGCCGCGUGAGCGAUGAAGCCCUUCGGGGCGUAAAGCUCUUUCGACCGGAACGAUAAUGACGGUACCGGGAGAAGAAGCUGCGGCUAACUACGUGCCAGCAGCCGCGGUAAUACGAAGGCAGCAAGCGUUGUUCGGAGUUACUGGGCGUAAAGAGUGCGUAGGCGGUUUUCUAAGUUCGGUGUGAAAUCUCCCGGCUUAACUGGGAGGGUGCGCCGAAGACUGGGAAGCUGGAGUGUGGGAAAGGCAGGCGGAAUUCCAGGUGUAGUGGUGAAAUACGUAGAUAUCUGGAAGAACACCAGUUGCGAAGGCGGUCCCUUGGUCCGACACUGACGCUGAGGCGCGAAAGCGUGGGGAGCAAACA
rnacentral:rRNA from 1 species